GGACCGUUUUUAACUGUUGCCUUAUUAACCCCUCCCUCUCCCACCUCAUCUUCGUGUCCUUCCUGCCCCCAGCUCACCCCACUCCCUUCUGCCCCUUUUUUGUCUCUGAAAUUUGCACUACGUCUUGGACGGGAAUCACUGGGGCAGAGGGCGCCUGAAGUAGGGUCCCGCCCCCCCCCCCCCCAUUCAGACACAUGGAUGUUGGGUCUCUGUGCGGACGGUGACAAUGUUUACAAGCACCACAUUUACACAUCCACACACGCACACGGGCACUCGCGAGGCGACUUCUCAAGCUUUUGAAUGGUCUGUGGUGAUGCUGUCUGUCUGUCUGAGUCUCGUGGCCGCCCCUGGACCAGUGAUGACUGAUGAAUCUUAUGAGCUUCUGAUUGAUCUCGGGGUCCAUCUGUGAUAUUUCUUUGUGCCAAAAAGAAAAAAAAAGAGUGGAUCAGUUUGCUAAAUGAACAUUGAAAUUGAAAUGCUUUAUCUGUGUUUUCUGUAAAUAAAAGAGUGCAAUAA
rnacentral:lncRNA from 1 species